AUUGAACGCUGGCGGCAGGCUUAACACAUGCAAGUCGAGCGAGCGGCGGACGGGUGAGUAAUGUCUGGGAAACUGUCUGAUGGAGGGGGAUAACUACUGGAAACGGUAGCUAAUACCGCAUACCAUCAGAUGUUCCCGGAUGGGAUGAGCUAGUAGGUGGGGUAAUGGCUCACCUAGGCGCAGUUCCCUAGCUGUUCUGAGAGGAUGACCAGCAAAACUGGAAUAGGGACACGGUCAAGCUCCAUACGAGAGGCAGCAGUGGGGAAUAUUGCAGAAUGGGAGGAAGCAUGAUGAAGCAAUGCCGCGUGUGUGAAGAGGGCCUUAGGGUUGUAAAGCACUUUCAGCGAGGAGGCGUUACUCGCAGAAGAAGCACCGGCUAACUCCGUGCCAGCCGCCGCGGUAAUAC
rnacentral:rRNA from 1 species